GUUAAGCGACUAAGCGUACACGGUGGAUGCCCUGGCAGUCAGAGGCGAUGAAGGACGUGCUAAUCUGCGAUAAGCGUCGGUAAGGUGAUAUGAACCGUUAUAACCGGCGAUUUCCGAAUGGGGAAACCCAGUGUGAUUCGUCACACUAUCAUUAACUGAAUCCAUAGGUUAAUGAGGCGAACCGGGGGAACUGAAACAUCUAAGUACCCCGAGGAAAAGAAAUCAACCGAGAUUCCCCCAGUAGCGGCGAGCGAACGGGGAGGAGCCCAGAGCCUGAAUCAGUGUGUGUGUUAGUGGAAGCGUCUGGAAAGGCGCGCGAUACAGGGUGACAGCCCCGUACACAAAAAUGCACAUGCUGUGAGCUCGAUGAGUAGGGCGGGACACGUGGUAUCCUGUCUGAAUAUGGGGGGACCAUCCUCCAAGGCUAAAUACUCCUGACUGACCGAUAGUGAACCAGUACCGUGAGGGAAAGGCGAAAAGAACCCCGGCGAGGGGAGUGAAAAAGAACCUGAAACCGUGUACGUACAAGCAGUGGGAGCCUCUUUUAUGGGGUGACUGCGUACCUUUUGUAUAAUGGGUCAGCGACUUAUAUUCUGUAGCAAGGUUAACCGAAUAGGGGAGCCGAAGGGAAACCGAGUCUUAACUGGGCGUUAAGUUGCAGGGUAUAGACCCGAAACCCGGUGAUCUAGCCAUGGGCAGGUUGAAGGUUGGGUAACACUAACUGGAGGACCGAACCGACUAAUGUUGAAAAAUUAGCGGAUGACUUGUGGCUGGGGGUGAAAGGCCAAUCAAACCGGGAGAUAGCUGGUUCUCCCCGAAAGCUAUUUAGGUAGCGCCUCGUGAAUUCAUCUCCGGGGGUAGAGCACUGUUUCGGCAAGGGGGUCAUCCCGACUUACCAACCCGAUGCAAACUGCGAAUACCGGAGAAUGUUAUCACGGGAGACACACGGCGGGUGCUAACGUCCGUCGUGAAGAGGGAAACAACCCAGACCGCCAGCUAAGGUCCCAAAGUCAUGGUUAAGUGGGAAACGAUGUGGGAAGGCCCAGACAGCCAGGAUGUUGGCUUAGAAGCAGCCAUCAUUUAAAGAAAGCGUAAUAGCUCACUGGUCGAGUCGGCCUGCGCGGAAGAUGUAACGGGGCUAAACCAUG
rnacentral:rRNA from 1 species